CGGCCGUUUCCUGCCUGCGUCGCUGGGCGGGCGGCCGGCCCAUCUGGCGGCCCCCAAGAGGCGGCGCGGGGAGGCGGCCCAGACUCGCUGGAGCCAGGCGCCGGCCCGCGCCCCCCGCCCGCCCGGAGAGCCCAGGUGUGGCCGCGGCGGGGGUGGGGGUGGUGCCUUCCUUCCCGCUCGGCCCUUCCUGACGCACCCGCGGGCAGGAUGCGUCCGCCUCCCAAGACCCGGCCUGGAAUCGCGGAGGGAGUCCCAGCGGUGGGAAAGCCGGCUGGGGUCGGAGCACCCCUCCCCAGUAUCCACUCCUUGUGAGACCCCGGCAUCCGAAAGUUGGACAUUACUGCCCAGCCCUCCAUGACCACCAAUGCUCCCAAGGGCCUGAAGACCCCGUGAGACGUGACCCCACUUCCUUCUCCAAUGUCACCUGACCUGCCCUACUCUGGCCACAAUGACCUGAUUUUGGUCCUCCUUGUCACCUCCAGCCACAGGACCUCUGCACCGGCAGUUUCUGCUGCCUGCGAUGCUCUUCCCACCUUUGCCUAGACUCCUCCUCCUUGGACCUCUGCUCAGUUUUAUUUCUCCGGGGAAGCCUUCCCUGGCACGGAGCCAGGCCCCCUUGUUAUCCACUCUCAAGGUCCCUGCCAUGCCCUGCAGCAUUCUCUGGCAAUGUGGAGUGGAACACUGCUGUAUCAUUGCAGACUUCAGCCUCUCUGCUGCUAGGCUGUGAACUUCAUGAGGGCGGGGUCCACGGCCAUCUUGGUCACUGCUCUAUAUUCCUGGCAUUUCAGGAGGAGGCCUGGUAAAUCCUAAGCAAGCGGCUUCUUCACGGGUGCUCGCAAAGUUAAGAGGGUGUCUUGUAGAUGUAAGGUGAGACCUCACUCCGAAGGGGAAGCCAGCCCCUGCUCAGAGGACAGGACUCCAGAGCCCCCCAAGCCUGACCUUCAGACCAUUUCUUGGCACCUGCCACGCAUGGGUCAUGUACCACACCGCUUCAUAUGUAUUACUUUUGGAGCUAGUAACACAAUCUGAGUUCUACAGACGAUGCUACUGAGGUUUAGAUAAGGAGAAAUGACUCACCCAAGGCCACACGAGGUGUGUAAAUGGCUGAGCUUUUCUCACUAUAUUAGGUGUUUGCUGAGUCAGGACUUGGGUGAGUUAGGCUUUAGGCCUUUUGGAGAGCGAUAGAAAUGACAAUGACUAAAGUCCACACCAAAACCUGUGAAAGGCAGCCACAGCAGUACUCAGAGGAAAAUCUAUAACUCUAGGUGCAUUUAUUAGAAAACACCAAAGACUUGAAAUAAUUUUAACUUUCAAGUCAAGAAGCCAGAAAAAGAAUAAAACACCAAAAAGUAGAAAGCAAAUAAGGCAGGCAAAAAGCAGAAAUUUGUGAAACAGAAAAUGAAAUAAAUACAAACUUAAUAGAAUUUAAUUCCUGAAAAGAUCUCCUUAUACUUUACAGAUGAAGAGACUGAAGAUCGGAGGAGGGAGAGGACUGCCCUAAUCACACAGCUGGCUAGGAUGUGGCUCCAGGUGCCUCUGUCUCUAAGUCACCAGCACCAGGCUGGGCAAAGUACAGGGCUUCCCGGGGGAGGGUGGAAGAAGUUUGGCUCCCUCCAGGCCUGCCUCACUUGAGGGCCGGGGGCCACUGAGGCUCCUCUGAGAGGUGGCGACUUUGCUAUCAUCACAGGAAUACACGCCUACUAUUUUCCUUCCUCUCAAGGCACCGAGGAACCUCUCCAAAAUUGGCGCUGAGGAGAGGCUAGGAUGUAUGGCUUGGGAUGGUGAACUGGGUGUCAGGCUCCUGGCUUUCCAUCUGGCCUCUGCUCUACUGUGUGACCACAGCUAAACCGCUUCCCUCUCUCUGUACAAUGAGGACACUUGAUCAUCUUGGAGGGGGCUUUUCUAGGAGGCUGCCAGACCCCUGGCUUGGAGUGGGUUUUUGGUAGAGGCUACAUGGGUUGAAAACCACUUAAGCAGCACCACUGGGACUUCCACCUAGGGAAUUACUGGCACUGGGAUUGCCUGUGUCAUGGAGAGGAAGAGGGUCUUCAAGAAACAGGCUGCCCUUGUGUCCUGGAUCCCCUUCCCAAGAUUUCCAGGGGGAGGCCCAGGUGGAUGAUGGGGCAAUGGCUGGGCUGCUGCUUAGGGGGCAGCACAGGCCUGGGGCCAGGGGUCAGGAGUCCGGGGCUCCAGCCCGGGCCCAGCUUAACUUGCUGUAUGACCCAGGAAGUCUCCUUUUCUCUCUGGCCUACAGUGUCCCUGCACAGAGGACCACCUCUCCAGCCAGUAUGGGAGCUCCCAACCGGAUCCUUGAGUCUAGCCCAGGCAGCGGGCUAGGCUGCCACCUGGUGGCCUCUGGGGGAAUGGCUCCGGGCCUGGAAUCUGGGCUGGGAGCAGAGACCUCCCAGACGACUCUGAGUUCGUCCCCCAAGCCAGGCCCAGUCAGUCUCGGAGACCUUCUUGUCAGGAAAUCAAGCAGGACUUCUGCAACCUGCCCACAGUCCUGCUCUGAACAGAUGGGGGAGUCUGGACUUCCUCCCCCGAGUCCCCUUGGCCUUCAUUUCACCCAGCCUCUCCCACUGCCAGGGGUUCAGAGCCUGGGCUUGGUUUCCACGUGUCACAAUCUGGGAUCCUUGCUCUAGCACAUGCUUGCCAUGUGGCACCUGACUUCCAAUUCCCUUACCUGCUCGUGAGGACCCUCGGGAAGAACUGAAUGGAGACUGGUGUACGGGAAGGGCCCUGCUUUCCAGUACUCAGCAAGCCCAUCUGCUGGCGGUCUCCUCCUUGUCGCCCCCUCCUCAGGUCUCAAUAAAAGCUCUCAGCCCUCA